UACCAGCCCCCUGAGUGAUAGGGACGACUAUUUAGCCUAAAGCGUUCGUAGCCGGUCAAGCAAGUCUUUCGUUAAAUCCGACGACUUAAUCGUCAGACCGCGGGAGAUACUACUAGACUAGAGGGCGGGAGAGGUUGACGGUAUUCCUGGGGUAGGGGUGAAAUCCUAUAAUCCCGGGAAGACCACCAGUGGCGAAGGCUGUCUGCUAGAACGCGCCCGACGGUGAGGGAUGAAAGCUGGGGGAGCGAACCGGAUUAGAUACCCGGGUAGUCCCAGCUGUAAACGAUGCAGGCUAGGUGUUUGGGCGGCCACGUGCCGCUCUAGUGCCGCAGGGAAGCCGUUAAGCCUGCCGCCUGGGGAGUACGGCCGCAAGGCUGAAACUUAAAGGAAUUGGCGGGGGAGCACCACAAGGGGUGAAGCUUGCGGUUU
rnacentral:rRNA from 1 species